GGGACCUAGAAAGCUGUUGGGAAGGAGGAGGCAGCUCUUUGUUAGAGCAGGACAUGUAGCCAUGGAGGCUGGGUGCAGGAGAAGGACUGAAGCUCUUGGAAGAUAGAACUGCAGGGGCUUGAUUCUCAAUGGGUUUUGCAUACGGUUUGGGAAUCGCUGCACCAAGUCGAUGUCAUCCACCGCAUCAGUUUCCAGAUAAGCCCCACUGAUUUUUUUAUUCCACACAGAAAUAAUUCUGAAUUUCUGCUGUAAAUGGAAAAUAAUCUGCAUUGUUUGGCUUUGGGGAAAGGCUGGUCAAGCACAGUUGGCUUUGAAUAUGUGGAAGCUACAGGCUACUGCAAUGUGUAGAAGUGCCUUCCUUGGAAGCAAAUUAUCUAGCAAAGCUCACAGGCAGUCAAGCAGAACUACAGAGAUGAAACAGCCUUGCAGAAAGAGCUUCGCUCCAACGUUCCAGCAUGUGUGUGCUUCCUGAUGCAGGAGAAAUGAGCCCGAGUGUCACUCUCUUGGGGAGUGUCUACCCUGUCGUUGCUGAGGAAUUUAGAGGAGGAAUUAAGCUCACUGCAUGUGAGGAGUCAGCACAAAGCUGUUCCUCAGGCAAACCCGGAAUGACUUUGCUGUCUCUGUCUUGUAAAGUGCACCACUGCUGUUGGCCUGGUGCCAAGGCAUCCUGGCUUGCCUGGAAUUAGAGGCUGGCUAGGACAACAAUGUAGACUCCUCCGAUAAAACCUAAAGCCUGGUCUGGUCCAACAGCCCAUCAUAUGGUGAAACCAUUCCUGGACUGAACCAUUUUUGGGGUCUUUGCCCGACAUGCAAGAUUUUAAAAUAAAUAAAUAAAAUAAAAUAAAUUCAGAUCCAUCCUCUCCAAAA